rnacentral:rRNA from 1 species
UACGAAGGGUGCGAACGUUAUUCGGAAUAAUUGGGCGUAAAGGGUUCGCAGGCGGCUUUUUAAGUCAAUCGUUAAAGUCCCCAGCCUAACUGGGGGUGUGCGGUAGAUACUAUUUGGCUAGAGUAUGGGAGAGAGAAGUGGAAUUCUCGGAGUAGCGGUAAAAUGCGUAGAUCUCGAGAGGAACACCGAUGGCGAAGGCAGCUUCUUGGCCCAUUACUGACGCUCAUGAACGAAAGCGUGGGGAGCAAACAGG